ACUUUUAAAGGAUGGUAGUUAUCCAUUUGUCCUAGGAACCAAAAAAUUGGUGCAACUCCAAAUAAAAGUA
rnacentral:tRNA from 1 species